rnacentral:rRNA from 1 species
AUUAGCUAGUUGGCGGGGUAAAGGCCCACCAAGGCGACGAUCCGUAGCUGGUCUGAGAGGAUGAUCAGCCACACUGGAACUGAGACACGGUCCAGACUCCUACGGGAGGCAGCAGUGGGGAAUAUUGGACAAUGGGCGCAAGCCUGAUCCAGCCAUACCGCGUGGGUGAAGAAGGCCUUCGGGUUGUAAAGCCCUUUUGUUGGGAAAGAAAUCCAGCCGGCUAAUACCUGGUUGGGAUGACGGUACCCAAAGAAUAAGCACCGGCUAACUUCGUGCCAGCAGCCGCGGUAAUACGAAGGGUGCAAGCGUUACUCGGAAUUACUGGGCGUAAAGCGUGCGUAGGUGGUUAUUUAAGUCCGUUGUGAAAGCCCUGGGCUCAACCUGGGAACUGCAGUGGAUACUGGAUGACUAGAAUGUGGUAGAGGGUAGCGGAAUUCCUGGUGUAGCAGUGAAAUGCGUAGAGAUCAGGAGGAACAUCCAUGGCGAAGCAGCUACCUGGACCACAUUGA